rnacentral:sRNA from 1 species
GGCACUCCGAAGUCCAGCUGACUGUGACACGCUUCUAGUUCCAAGGUUCCAGAGUUCUAGAACCCUGCUCACUCUUUUCUUUCUUGCUGAUGCAGACUGGUCUGUGUGUGUCUCCCAUGAACAGAGCUGUCCCAGAUUUCUGGGACGCAGGUGGAGACCAGGUGCCGCGAGGCCACACUCGCCGCUGUCUUUCUGCAGUUGAAUCCAGAGAACAACUGGAGGAAGAAGAGAUGGAGGAAAUAAAGGAGGGGAAUGGCUUGCAUGCUGUACCCCUCCGAAGGUCGGGGGCUUUCCGGGCCCACGGCCACAACUAUGACGUCUUCAAAAGACAUAGCUGGGGGCCUGGCAGGGAGCUCGAUGACCCACUGAAUAGGAGGAGACUGCAAGCAUCGGGAUGCCCAGGCCCCGAGGAAGCCCCCUUCCUGCAGAACCAAGAAGAACUGGACAACUUUCUGGGACUGCAGCACCAGGGUGGUUACCCCACCUGGCUG